rnacentral:misc_RNA from 1 species
AAAAGAUGUGUAAAUACUGAACGUGUUAUUGUUUGUGCAGCUUUCGCGAUGUAUUUGUUUGUUUCAGAUAUAUAAACAGUUUUUGGGGAUUCAAUUUCAUUCGCAGAGGAACAACGCAAGGAAGCGAUCCAAAAAAAACCACCAUGAAGUUCUUUAUGAUUGCAUCGUUGACUCUAUUGGUCGUGAUGGCUGUUGACUCCACGGAUUACGAAUCUGAGAAAUCCAAGGGCCUUGGCGUAGGUCUGGGCGUAGGUGUGGCUAAGAGUGAAUAUGAAAAAUAUGGGCACGGCAAUGAUGGUGCUAAAAAUAAUGGAGGCGGUGGUGUUGGCGGUGGUAAAUGGUCCCCGGGCUGGUAGUGGUUCUGGGGGUCCUGGAGGCAAUGGUACUGGAGCAGGCGCUGGCAGUGGCUCUGGUUAACUGUUUAAUUAAAUCUCUGGUUUAUUAAUAAACAUUUCCAUUUACUUA